GCCGAAGUGGCGGAACGGCAGACGCGCUACGUUCAGGGCGUAGUGGGGAGACCCGUGGGAGUUCGAAUCUCCCCUUCGGCACCA
rnacentral:tRNA from 1 species